UACGACUACAUAUCAGGCAUAUCAAUAAGCGGAGGAAAAGAAACUAACAAGGAUUCCCUUAGUAACGGCGAGUGAAGCGGGAAGAGCUCAAAUUUGAAAUCUUCAAGGUUCUACCUUGACGAAUUGUAGUUUAUAGAAGUGUUUUCUGUUAGUGAAGUUCGGCUAAAAGUUCUUUGGAAUAGGACAUCAUAGAGGGUGAGAGUCCCGUAUUUGACGUCAUUCUCCUAGCUGUUGUGAUACACUUUCAACGAGUCGGAUUGUUUGGGAAUGCAGUCCAAAAUGGGUGGUAAAUUUCAUCUAAAGCUAAAUAUUGGCGAGAGACCGAUAGCGAACAAGUACCGUGAGGGAAUGAUGAAAAGAACUUUGAAAAGAGAGUUAAACAGUACGUGAAAUUGUCAAAAGGGAAGCGUUUGACACCAGUGUUGUUUUCUCGAAAAUCAAUUAAAAAUGGCUUGAUUUUGUGUUGUAUUGACCUUAAAAGCUUUCUUCACUUUUUUCAUGUCAUUUUUAAUGCACUUUUCGUUUAACAAGUCAACAUCAGUUUCUUUUGUUGUAAAAAGGUCAUUGGAAGGUGGCUUUCUUUUCGGAGAAAGUGUUUAUAGCCUUUGUACUCCUGCAAUCGGAGAGACUGAGGUCUGCAGCGUAGAUCCUUCUUGGAUUAGAUUCACUUUGUGCUAAGUUAUAGCUUUUCAUAGACAACUUGUUGACUAUGUUUAGUCAUGUAGCUUACUCGCUUAUGUAAUUUUACCUACGCUUAGGAUGUUGAACGCGCACAGAGUCUC
rnacentral:rRNA from 1 species